rnacentral:lncRNA from 1 species
ACUACCUCAAAAGAGCAUAAAAAUCACCUUUGGAAGAACAGAGAGACUCUCCAGUACCCCACAGAAACGAAGAGAAAGACUACUUAUGCAGUCUUGGGAGAAAACGAAUUGAAGCACCAACUGACAACUGAUACUCAGAAGAAUGGAAAGAGUAUAUUCAUGGAAGAGAUGUUGAGAGAAAAGAGAAAAAUGGCAAGAAAAAGCAAAGUUGGACAAAAUUCUUCAAGGAUCAAGAUAUUACAUUUGCUUCAUAAACAGAUUGAAUGA